CGGCUCUUCACCUGGUAGACUUGUGAGUGGAUAGGCUUGGUCAAGCUGCCUGAUGAAGAGCUGUCC
rnacentral:pre_miRNA from 1 species